rnacentral:lncRNA from 13 species
UAGCUAUUGAACUUUUUCAGAUACCUUUUCAGUCAGUCAGAAUGGGUCCUACGGGGUAGGUGACUUGCUAAGUGCCUUCCUCUGAUCUCAGAGAGUUGAAAAUAUUUUUUCCAUCUGUCUCUGUGCACUUUCCAGAGGUCUAUGUUUACAAAUAGAGAGCAGAGUCUGAGACACUGUUUAGUAUAAUUCCAAUUCUUUUAUGGGCUUAUUUAUGCCUUUCAGCAAUAUAGACCAGGACAGAAUCAUCACUGAAAGUUUCAGCCCCGUGUGUUUAGAGAACAGCUAGUAAAGGUGGUCUGGAUAUCAAGCAUCCUGUCCCCACACAGAAUAUUCACGUUCAGGGUUAAAAUACUACAAGGAAAAAUUUCAUCACAUCUUCAAAAAUGUGCUUACAUCAGCUGGUUCUAGCUACAUAUCAUAAGCAGCUUCAUCUGUUUGGAAUCAAAAGUGUGAAAGACCUGGAAAUUAAAUCAAAAGAGUGGCAGAAUAAUCCUCCUCACUGACAAAUGAGAAACAACAUUUCACUCUGUGGCCGAGGCUGGAGUAAAGUGGCACAAUCACCUUGCUGCAACCUUGACCUCCUAGGCUCAAGCAGUCCUUCCAACUCAACUUCCCAAGUAGCUGAGACUACAGGUUUUGGGGUACAUGAGCAGAACAUGCAAGACAGUUGCGUAGGAGGACUUCUUGAGGCUAUGAGUUUGAGACUUGCCUGGAGAACAUAG